CGGUUCCAUUCCCAGGCUGCAUAUGACAGCCAAAAGACGUCUUUCGGUAAAACUUUUCGUCUUUCCGUCGGACUGCCGAUAGUCCGACUUUUUAACGAUAUGGUUAGACCGAUUUUGACAGAUAUGGCCAGAUGUCAUUCAAGUGGUGUAUAUUUUUUAUUGACGGUGUAAUGCAAUGUCCAAAAAUUACUGAGUGGCCUACCACAGUGCAAAAAAAUUGGCGGACUCUUUUUUCUCCCCCCUCUUUCCACCGAUCUUUUUUCCCUCACCCUCUUCCUUCUUCUUUCUCCUAGGUUGUCCCGGUUGUUCCUCUCGAGCUCAUUUUGUUUACUUUGCUUUUCGCCUUCGCACAGUUCGGCUAUUCUUUGGUUCGGUUCGGUUGUGUUUUAUUCUUCUACUCCUCUUCAUCUCAUCUCCGCUGCACACACGCUCCUUUUGUUUGUAAGGCCGGUGUUGGUUUAUUUAGAACUUUUUCUGUGUUUGUGCUUAUGUGCUGAGGCAAUUCCAAUUGUUUAGAACUCCUGCAUGGAACAAGCGUGAGGGAACCUGUUCCUGCGUGUACAGCCGGAGCCACGGUGUCCCGAUUAUCUGGUUCAGCUCACAACGCUUUAUAAACGUGAUACUUCCAACAUGGACAGCGCCAAACGACCCAAGCUACUUGUGUCGAUAAAAAAUGGAGAAUACAAAUUGCUCCCGUUAAACAAUAAUACUUUCAUCGUUAUCGUCAGUGUCUAUCCAUACUGGAAGUCAAAACAUGGCUCGCGAGAAUGCUUCAUCGUCAAAACAAACUGUAUCAAGCGAUAAACGCAAGCCGGUUUCUCGUACGAAUAAUGCAAUGGUAGACAAUGUACCGUCCACAUCGAUGGUAGUUCGUUCUUCUCAUUUAUGGUGGUUUGGAUCACUUCUCGUUUAUGGAAACAACUGCAUCAACUUCGGGUGCUUGUAAACGAAAACCUAAACCCCUUUUAUCUACUGCUUCAAUGGCAACGCAAACGGAUUUUUCUAGUGGACAGAACGUGGGAUUAGAUGCCAUACUAGAAAAAUUAGACACCAUGCAGAGGUAGCAACAAAGACAGGCAGACAUGUAUCAUAAGAAAAUGCUGGAUAUGGAGAAGCAGCAGAAAUUAAUACGAGCACAGUUAGAUAUUUUAUCCUACAAAUUGAUUCCACGGCCAGGAUUUGUUGCGGAAUCAUCGUUUGAAUGGGAAACGGUGGGGACCAGGGAAGAACUAGAUCGACUGGAGGAAAGAUUGGGGGAACCAGAGUUCAUGUAGAUACAAAGCUGCCGACCGACAGUUCAGAAGCUAGACUCAAUGAUAGCAUGGACAUUAUAUUCAAAAAGGAUUUUGUAACACAAGCCAACUGGACAGGAUUAGGACCAGAUAAAGUUUGUUUUUCAAAUUAUGAAAGGGUUAUUCAGAUUUUUAAAUUUAUAGGAACAUGUCAUGGAGUUUCACCCACGGACCAAAGAAUCAAAACAUUUUUCUAAAAUAAGUUUAAACAUUCAAAACAAAGACUUAACAUGGUGGGAAAAGUUAAAACUGUACCUCAUAGACGCAAAGUUUAGUUUAAUUUAUGUUUAAGUACUACUGUAAUCCUCAGUUUAGCUUCAAGCAGAUAGCAGAAUUAAUGGCUUUUUGUAAAAUUAAAGCUUUUACCCAGUUGCGUAUCAUGUUCCUAUUAUAGAAAUAUUAAAGAAUUCAAAGAAAUGUUAUUAUCUUUUAUGAUAUAAAAAACGAAAUAAAAUGUAUGUUCAACAAAUAUUUAUUACUUAUUUCAUAUUACUAAUGUGUGAAUUAAAGGAACGAAAUCGAAUGCAUCUUUUUGAGCAAGAGGUGCCGC